CAGCCGCCGCGGUAAUACCGGCGGCUCGAGUGGUGGCCACUUUUAUUGGGCUUAAAGCGUUCGUAGCUGGGUUGUUAAGUCUCUUGGGAAAUCUGACGGCUCAACCGUCAGGCGUCCAAGGGAUACUGGCAAUCUUGGAACCGGGAGAGGUGCGGGGUACUUCGGGGGUAGGAGUGAAAUCCUGUAAUCCUCGAGGGACCACCUGUGGCGAAGGCGCCUCACCAGAACGGCUUCGACAGUGAGGGACGAAAGCUGGGGGAGCAAACCGGAUUAGAUACCCGGGUAGUCCCAGCCGUAAACGAUGCGCGUUAGGUGUAUCGGUGACCACGAGUCACCGAGGUGCCGAAGGGAAACCGUGAAACGUGCCGCCUGGGAAGUACGGUCGCAAGGCUGAAACUUAAAGGAAUUGGCGGG
rnacentral:rRNA from 1 species